rnacentral:rRNA from 1 species
UACGUAGGGUGCAAGCGUUGUCCGGAAUUAUUGGGCGUAAAGAGCUCGUAGGCGGUCUGUCGCGUCGGCUGUGAAAACUCGGGGCUCAACCCCGAGCCUGCAGUCGAUACGGGCAGACUAGAGUGCGGUAGGGGAGACUGGAAUUCCUGGUGUAGCGGUGAAAUGCGCAGAUAUCAGGAAGAACACCAAUGGCGAAGGCAGCUCUCUGGGACGGUACUGACGCUGAGACGCGAAAGCGUGGGGAGCGAACAGG